UACGUAGGUGGCAAGCGUUGUCCGGAUUUAUUGGGUUUAAAGGGUGCGUAGGCGGCUUUGUAAGUCAGUGGUGAAAUAUGGCAGCUCAACUGUCAGGGUGCCAUUGAUACUGCGGAGCUUGAGUACAGAUGAGGUAGGCGGAAUUGACGGUGUAGCGGUGAAAUGCUUAGAUAUCGUCAAGAACACCGAUAGCGAAAGGCAGCCUUACUAGGCUGUAACUGACGCUGAGGCACGAAAGUGUGGGGAUCAAAC
rnacentral:rRNA from 1 species